UUUUCUGUGGUGUGGGAUUAAUUGAGAAUGUUUACACAUUCUUCUGCACUCAGGGUAUGUACGAGGACUCCAUACGCUACUAUGUUCGGGCACUCUCUAUGAAUCCAAAGGCGGAUAAUGCCUGGCAGUAUUUGAGAAUCUCUUUGAGCUGUGCUUCCCGGAACGAUAUGCUGGAAGCUUGUGACUCAAGGAAUGUUGAUUUUCUCCAGAAAGAGUUCCCGCUGUGAUUAUACCUUGUGAUCCUGCUGACAAAAGACCUAAGUCAGGUAGCUCAAUUCUCUUGUUGUGCUGAACAAUAUAACCUGGUAGCGACGCUUGAUUUGUAAUUUGGGUAUACCUUUUCUGCUGCCCGAGUGAAUUCACUAUUUCUGCAUACUGGUUAGUUUCAGCCUCAAGAAAAUGAAGUUCAACUAAUACGAAUCAUUGUUUGACUGUAAAAUUAUUGAGCUCGUAGUGGACAUCUCAAGAUGAUGCGUGUGUUUUUUGU